AUAAAACACAGCACAAUUGAUCUCACAUCCAAAGUUAGAUGAUGGCAUUCACGUUUUGUUUUCUGGUGUUUGAUAACCAAGUUACACCAAGUGGCCUGUGACCACGUUCAUCCUUCUACCCAGUAUAUAUAUAUAUAUUUUUUUUUUUGUAGACAAAUGUUCGAUAAUGAUAAAAUUUUAUGGAAAAAUUAUAAGGAGCACAUAAAAUGUCUGAAACAUGAAAAUUAAGAUUGAUGCACUAUAUUUGAAGCAGAAGGUUAUAAGAAGAACUGAUUCAGCAAGGAAUGUGAACUCACAAGGGAUCUUAAUUUUUUUUUAAAUAUAUUUAUAAUUUAUAAAUUAAUAAUUGAAAUAGUUCAUAUGAACUAAAUUGAUACCAAUUUUGUUUUAAAAUAGAUUGUUUAGUUCUUAUAGUUAUAGUAUAUUACAUUUGAAUAGUUUUUGUAAUUAGUAAGUUAGUAAUAUAUGAAAAUACUGAUAUAAAUUUUUGUAAAUAACCUUUUGUAAAUUCUACGAGAAGAUGAUUUUAAUUAAUGGUAAUUCAAAAGCAUUAUUGUGGAAUAUAUUUGCUAAGUCGUGUUUUCUGUAUGAGCAGAUAUAAAUGAAAAUGCCCAAACAUGAUUACAUUUCUUACAUUUUCAUUCUGUGAAAUCAAUAUGCUUGUGACUGUGUGAUUAAUAAUUUAUUAAAACUUAAGUGAUAGACAGUGACCCCUAUGGCACUACUAAAGCUUAUAAGCACUGGUGACCACUUAUCACGAGCCGGGCUGCGUGCUCGUCUGCCGUUGAGGGCAAUAAAAAUUUUCGAAACUCUUUCUUAGAUGUAAUAUUAAUGUACAUUUAAUUUGGAUUAAAAGAUAAAUUUACAUUUUAUGUUUGCAUGUGUAUGUUUAUAAUUCAUUUGCAUGUAACGAACAUCAGUUUCUUUUGUAACAAAAUUCAAACUAAUGGUUUGCAAUGAAUGUAAUUAACUUUAAGAUGAUUUUCUUUCAA